rnacentral:rRNA from 1 species
CAGUAGCCGCGGUAAUACGUAGGGUGCGAGCGUUAAUCGGAAUUACUGGGCGUAAAGCGUGCGCAGGCGGUCGUGUAAGACAGGUGUGAAAUCCCCGGGCUUAACCUGGGAACUGCGCUUGUGACUGCACAGCUAGAGUAUGGCAGAGGGGGGUGGAAUUCCACGUGUAGCAGUGAAAUGCGUAGAGAUGUGGAGGAACACCGAUGGCGAAGGCAGCCCCCUGGGCCAAUACUGACGCUCAUGCACGAAAGCGUGGGGAGCAAACAGGAUUAGAUACCCCCGUAGUCCCUGUCUCUUAUAC